rfam:Candidatus Gottesmanbacteria bacterium RIFOXYB1_FTLL_47_11 rifoxyb1_full_scaffold_1060, whole genome shotgun sequence.
CUCUGCAACGCUACAAGUUGACAAUGGAUGCCUAGGGUAUUCAUGCCGAGGAAGGACGUAUAUGACCGCGAUAGUCGUCGGGGAGGAGUCAUAAUCCCGUAAUCCGACGGUUUCCGAAUGGGGCAACCCAUCCCGAGUAAUCGGGAUAGUCUAUCAUAAAAGCUCCGCAAGGAGUCAUAGUGAUAGGCAGGAUACCAUCCGAACUGAAACAUCUCAGUAGGGUGAGGAAAAUAAAUCAAGAGAGAUUCCGUCAGUAGCGGCGAGCGAAAGCGGAACAGCCUAAACUCAUUCGCAAGAAUGAGGGUUGUAGGGCCAGUGAUAUGUGAUGAAAUUGUUGUAGAAGAACGCCUCGGAAUAGGCGGCCACAGAGAGUGAAAGCCUCGUAUUUGACAUGACGAUUUCCGCUAAUUGGUUCCUAAGUACCAUGAGACACGAAGGUCUUGUGGGAAUCCGGGUCGACCACGAUCCAAGGCUAAAUACAUGAAUACACCGAUAGUGAACUAGUACCGUGAGGGAAAGGUGAAAAGUACCCCGGAAGGGGAAUGAAAUAGUACCUGAAAUUGUCGACUAACAAACAGCGAGAGCCUCGCAAGGGGUAAUCGCGUGCCUAUUGAAGAAUGAACCGGUGAGUUACUGCGUAAAGCAAGCUUAAGGGCAGCAAUGUUCGUAAGCGCAGUGAAAGCGAGGCCUAAUUGGCCGUUAGUUUUGCGGAAUAGACCCGAAACCAGAGCGAGCUAACCUCGUGCAGGGUGAGUUCUGACGAAAGUCAGAAGGAGGCCCGAACCCUUCAGAGUUACAAAUCUGUGGGAUGACAUGUGGUUAGGGGUAAUAUGCCUAUCGAGCCUGGAGAUAGCUGGUUCUCCCUGAAAUAUAUGUAGGUAUAGCGGUCGGCCAUGGCGUGGAGGGGUAGAGCACUGAAUGAUGCUUGUUUCGCAAGGAAUAGACAUUAAUCAAACUCCGAAUACUUUCACGAUUAUCCGGCCAGUCAGACAUGCACGGCUAAGCGCGUGUGUCUAAAGGGCAACAGCCCAGACUCACAUCUAAGGUCUCUAAAUACAUACUAAGUGGUUAAGGAAGUCAUGGUUUUAAAACACCCAGGAAGUUGGCUUAGAAGCAGCCAUCUUUUAAAGAACGCGUAACAGCGCACUGGACGAAAGCCGUGGCGCCGAAAAUGAUCGAGGCUAAGUAUGUUACCGACGAUUGAGAUUUGCCGCAAGGCAAGUGGUAAGGGAGCGUUCCGUCUGCAGUGAAGCAUACGCCGUAAGGCGGUGUGGAGCGGCCGGAAGUGAGAAUGCCGGUAUGAGUAGCGUUUGAAGGUGGGAAUCCUUCAUGCCGAAUGCGCAAGGUUUCCGAAGCAACGUUCGUCGACUUCGGGUAAGUCGGAUCUAAGGCGAGGCCCCUAUUGGGGGCGUAGCUCGAUGUAUAAACGGUUUAUAUUCCGUUACAUGCGUGUAUCGAUUAAGACUCAAAGGAAUGACAAAGGAAAAUUGGUCUCGCGGUUGAUUCGUCGGCCGCCAAGCUUUGAAAUAGUGAUAACUGGUAAAUCCGUUAUUGCGUUUAAUUGAGAAGUAGGGAAGUCGGAGCCGAAAGGUGAUGGCAAGAGAGAUAGUUUUGCUUUCGAGAAAAAUUUCGUUGAGAGAUACAUGUAUUCCGUACCGCAAACCGACACAGGUGCGCUGGUAGAGUAUACCAAGGCAAGCGGGUGACAGUAGUUCAAGGAACUCGGCAACAAAAACUAGGCGUAACCUAUGGGAGAUGCCUUGCCCCGGUGUCAAAACCGGGGUCGCAGUUAAUGACACUAAGCAACUGUUUAACUAAAACACAGGUCUCUGCGAAGCGGAAACGCAACGUAUAGGGGCUGACACCUGCCCAGUGCCGGUAAGUUAAGAAAGGUUGGUCACUUUCGCAAGAGAGAAAGCCGAUUUUUCAAGCUCCGGUGAACGGCAGCAGUAACUAUAACUGUCAAACUAUAGGGCAGUUUUAAAAUUUGGCCAUAUGCUGGAAUAACUCGAGAAUCCGACAGUACCGAAAGGUAAAAAUCUGUUCGGUGGAGUCAAUCAGCAGGAAAGAUCCCGCCCCAUCGGUGGGAAAUCCUCAGAGACUACACGCCAAACCCUCUUGAAAAAGAGUGAUGAUAUAGUCCGAUCUCUGUAGCGAUACAGAGGAUCUCCGCCCUUGCGGAGUGAUAACGAGAAAGUCUAUGGUAGCGAAAUUCCUCUUGACAGGGGACAUCCCGCAGCAAUGCGGGGAAAGAAAAUUUGGCUAUAUGCUGGAAUAACUCAGUAUCCAAAAGUACUUUUCGAAGUAAAAAUCUUUUGGUGGAGUCAAUCAGCAGGGAAGUCUAUUUAUGACCCCUCAACGACUACACGCCAAACCCACGACAUCGUGUCGGGGUGAUGAUAUAGUCUGAACUUCAUAGCGAUAUGAAGAGCCCGAAAUGGAACACCGGGCAUCCCGUCCGCCAGUUGGCGGGUGGGAGUAACAUAAUUGUGUCGGGCAAGUUCCGACCUGCACGAAAGGUAGAAUGACUUAGUGACUGUCUUGAACUAUUACCCGGCGAAAUUGAAAUGGCUGUGAAGAUGCGGCCUACUUGCACAUGGACAAAAAGACCCCAUGAAGCUUUACUGUAACUUGACACUGAGGACGUUAUUUUGACUGUCGAGAAUAGGUGGGAGCCUUCGGGCAAAAUAUGGAAUACCACUCUUCGGAAUGACGAAAUCUUACUUACUCCCCCAUAAAAAUCGGGGAGAAGAACACUGUCUGGUGGGCAGUUUAACUGGGGAGGUUGCCUCCAAAAGUGUAACGGAGGCGUACAAAGGUUGGCUAAUCCUGAAUGGAAACCAGGACUUGUCGUGCAAACGCGAUAAGCCAGCUUGACUGCGAGACGUACAUGUCGAGCAGAUACGAAAGUAGGUGUUAGUGAUCCUCGAUACCCUCGUGGGAGGGUUCGGGCUUANNNNNNNNNNNNNNNNNNNNNNNUAACAGGCUGAUCGCUUCCGAGCGUCCAUAGCGACGAGGCGGUUUGGCACCUUAACUAAAUACGACAUUGGGGUGCUACUUCAAGUAAUUGAGUACCAAAUAAAACUAGCUAAUAUCGGUGGAAUCCUGAGUUGAUCGUGGCUACGCAUAGGUUCAUACUGAAUCUAUGGUAGGGUCAACGGAUAAUACCGAGGGAAGCUUAACAGAAGAACAAUGAAAUAUAAACUUCUGUUAUAGCCCCGUAUCGACUGAUGUCCGAUCAAAUCGGACUGAGAUAGUUUAAUUUUUUCAAAAACUAUCAUACGCUGGCUCCCGACGUGACGUCGGGAUGAAGAUAUAGUCAAAUCUCAUCAGAAACGGUGAGGGCAAAACUGUUUUUACAGAAUUGCGAUGUCGGCUCAUCCUAUCCUGGGGGUGGAGAAGCUCCCAAGGGUCCGGCUGUUCGCCGGUUAAAAGGGUACGCGAGCUGGGUUCAGAACGUAAUUCUCAUUGCGUUCUCCGUCAGUGAUGACGGAUAUAAGAAGGGAAGUCAGAGUACUUCCGCUUUCUAUCACCCGUGAGGAAAAGUAUAGAAAGAAUCGACUAAAAUCGGAGAAACCCAAGAUGUAAUAACCGAUUACAUAUGGGUAACACCGAGGGUAAGUCCCGCCGCAGGGUGGGAAUCCCGUAGAGACUUGCUUCGCGAGAAGCAGAUCCUGACGCUACGUCGGGAUAACACGUCGACUCCCGCAAUCAUCUAAUUAUGAUGAAGCGGGAAGAAGAUAUAGUCCAAACAAUUAGUAAUAAUUGAAGUAUUUGCGUGAGACAGUUCGGUCUCUAUCCUGUGCAAGCGUUAGAUUCUUGAGGGGAGCUCUCUCUAGUACGAGAGGACCGAGAGGGACAGAUCCCUGGUGUGCCAAUUGUCGGACAACCGGCAGCGUUGGGUAGCUAGAUCUGGAAGGGAUAAGUGCUGAAAGCAUCUCAAGCACCAAGCCCACCCCAAGAUGAAGAAUCGUUAUAGAUCCGUUGUAGAUGACAACGUAUAUAGGCGAGGAGUGUACGCACGGCAACGUGUUUAGCUUACUCGUACUAAUCGAUCGAUGUUGUGGAGAA